CAUUUAUCUUGGCCCGAGUGGUUUGACAUGUUGUGUUGUGAGCGCAAUACUCAAUUUAAUAUUUAUGGAUACUGAUUGAAUUAUAUUUGUAAUUUUUUUGUCGAUAUCUUAUCCAGAAAUAUUUAAGCAGUUAUUAUAUUUACAAAAGUAUAUUUGGAAAGAUGUUAAUUGAAGGUAUAACUAAUAUCAGAGAAAUCGAGUAAUAAAUAAACACGCGGUUCACAAAACACUAAUGGAAUGGGCGUUGUGCUUAAGUCUAUCUAUUUGAUAAAUUAGGCUGAACCUACACCAAGAACGUGUAUCGUCGAACACACGCAGUCAAAAUAAUCUCCUACAUUGGAAACGAAUGUCAGUUCGUCGUCAGCAGCUACGCUCAUUUUCCCCGCUUUUACGGAGAUCGGUGAUUUUGUUUUUUUCUACUACUUACUGUCGUUUUCAUUAGUCAAGUGUUUGUUAAAGUGUUUAACAGUAUAUAUUUAAAUUAAAAUGAGCGACUCCGAGGGCGAUCUUGACCUUUGAUUUUUAACGGAAACAAUUGGGCCAUUCAAGAUAAAGAAAAUGUGUGUGUACUGGUUUAAUAAACAAAGGAACGACGGCAAAUAUUUUAGAACCUGUCUACUCUUAUGCGACUUUCCAAAAAAAUUCU